GACGAACGCUGGCGGCGUGCCUAAUACAUGUAAGUCGAGCGGAACUGGGGGAGCUUGCUCCUUCCAGUUUAGCGGCGGACGGGUGAGUAACACGUGGGCAACCUGCCCUGCAGAUCGGGAUAACUCCGGGAAACCGGUGCUAAUACCGAAUAGUUUGGCGCCUCUCCUGAGGCGCCACGGAAAGACGGUUUCGGCUGUCACUGCAGGAUGGGCCCGCGGCGCAUUAGCUAGUUGGUGGGGUAACGGCCCACCAAGGCGACGAUGCGUAGCCGACCUGGGAGGGGGACCGGCCACACUGGGACUGAGACACGGCCCAGACUCCUACGGGAGGCAGCAGUAGGGAAUCUUCCGCAAUGGACGCAAGCCUGACGGAGCAACGCCGCGUGAGUGACGAAGGUUUUCGGAUCGUAAAACUCUGUUGUGAGGGAAGAACACGUACCAACUAACUAUUGGUACCUUGACGGUACCUCACCAGAAAGCCACGGCUAACUACGUGCCAGCCGCCGCGGUAA
rnacentral:rRNA from 1 species